UACGGGGGAGCAAGCGUUGUUCGGGUUUACUGGGCGUAAAGGGCGCGUAGGCGGCCUCCGCAAGUCAGUUGUGAAAUCUCCGAGCUUAACUCGGAAAGGUCAACUGAUACUGCGGGGCUAGAGUGCGGAAGGGGCAACUGGAAUUCUUGGUGUAGCGGUGAAAUGCGUAGAUAUCUGGAGGAAUACCGGUGGCGAAGGCGGCAUCCUGAACCGACAUUGACGCUGAGGAGCGAAAGCUAGGGGAGCAAACGGG
rnacentral:rRNA from 1 species